GGGCCGAUAGAUCAGCCGGUAGAUCGCAUGCUUCGCAAGCAUGAGGCCACGGGUUCAAAUCCCGUUCGGUCCA
rnacentral:tRNA from 1 species